AACGGUCUAUACCUGCGGUACCUGCGGAGGGAUCAUUAGCAAAUCAAGGAGGAGAGAUCUCUCUCUCCAUCCACAUUUGACCACAGGCUUGCGUGGCCUGGCGGGAAUAUAUAUUGGGUAUAAUAUCUGUUUGUAGCAUGUGAAUCUUUAAAUGACAACUUUUAACAAUGGAUCUCU
rnacentral:misc_RNA from 1 species